rnacentral:tRNA from 1 species
GCCCUGUGGUGAAUUUUCAUAUUGAAUUGCAAAUUCAAAGGAGCAGCUUCAACUCUGCCGGGGCUU